rnacentral:rRNA from 1 species
UCGGGAAUUUUGGGCAAUGGGCGAAAGCCUGACCCAGCAACGCCGCGUGAAGGAUGAAAUCCCUCGGGAUGUAAACUUCGCAAGAACGGGAAGAAUAAGCGGGAGCCAACACCUCUCGUGACGACGGUACCGUUUGUAAGCUCCGGCUAACUCCGUGCCAGCAGCCGCGGUAAUACGGGGGGAGCAAGCGUUGUUCGGAUUUACUGGGCGUAAAGGGCGCGUAGGCGGCCACUGCAAGUCAAUUGUGAAAUCUCCGGGCUUAACUCGGAAAGGUCAACUGAUACUGCAGGGCUAGAGUGCGGAAGGGGCAACUGGAAUUCUCGGUGUAGCGGUGAAAUGCGUAGAUAUCGAGAGGAACACCUGCGGCGAAGGCGGGUUGCUGGGCCGACACUGACGCUGAAGUGCGAAAGCUAGGGGAGCGAA